CAGUAGCCACGGUAAUACGUAGGGUGCGAGCGUUAAUCGGAAUUACUGGGCGUAAAGCGUGCGCAGGCGGUUGUGUAAGACAGGUGUGAAAUCCCCGGGCUUAACCUGGGAACUGCGCUUGUGACUGCACAGCUAGAGUAUGGCAGAGGGGGGUGGAAUUCCACGUGUAGCAGUGAAAUGCGUAGAGAUGUGGAGGAACACCGAUGGCGAAGGCAGCCCCCUGGGCCAAUACUGACGCUCAUGCACGAAAGCGUGGGGAGCAAACAGGAUUAGAUACCCGCGUAGUCCCUGUCUCUUAUAU
rnacentral:rRNA from 1 species